CAAUCGCCGCGGUAAUACGUAGGGCGCAAGCGUUAUCCGGAAUUAUUGGGCGUAAAGAGCUCGUAGGCGGUUUGUCGCGUCUGCCGUGAAAGUCCGGGGCUCAACCCCGGAUCUGCGGUGGGUACGGGCAGACUAGAGUGAUGUAGGGGAGACUGGAAUUCCUGGUGUAGCGGUGAAAUGCGCAGAUAUCAGGAGGAACACCGAUGGCGAAGGCAGGUCUCUGGGCAUUAACUGACGCUGAGGAGCGAAAGCAUGGGGAGCGAACAGGAUUAGAUACCCCCGUAGUCCCUGUCUCUUAUAC
rnacentral:rRNA from 1 species